rnacentral:rRNA from 1 species
GACGAACGCUGGCGGCGUGCUUAACACAUGCAAGUCGAACGGAAAGGCCCUGCUUUUGUGGGGUGCUCGAGUGGCGAACGGGUGAGUAACACGUGAGUAACCUGCCCUUGACUUUGGGAUAACUUCAGGAAACUGGGGCUAAUACCGGAUAGGAGCUCCUGCUGCAUGGUGGGGGUUGGAAAGUUUCGGCGGUGGUGGAUGGACUCGCGGCUUAUCAGCUUGUUGGUGGGGUAGGUGCGUCCCAAGGCUUUGAAGGGUAGCCGGCCUGGGAGGGGGGACGGCCACAUUGGGCCUGCGAUACGCCCCAGACUCCUACGGGAGGCAGAGGUGGGGAAUAUUGCGCAAUGGGCGGACGCCUGAUGCGGCAACCCCGCGUGCGUGAUGACGGCCUUUGGGUUGUAAACCGCUUUCGCAUGUGACGAAGCGUGAGUGACGGUAAUGGGUAAAGAAGCACCGGCUAACUACGUG